GAUGAACGCUGGCGGCAUGCCUAACACAUGCCAGUCGAUCGGUAAGGCUCUUCGGAGUACACGAGAGGCGGACGGCUGAGUAACGCGUAGGAACACACCCUGCAGUGAGGGAUAAGACACCGAAAGGUGUUCUAAUACCGCAUACGGUCUUCGGAUUAAAGCAUUUAUGCGCUGAAGGAGUGGCCUGCGUCAUAUUAGAUAGUUGGUGAGGUAAUGGCUCACCAAGUCGAUGAUGUGUAGCUGGUCUGAGAGGAUGAUCAGCCAGACUGGAACUGAGACACGGUCCAGACUCCUACGGGAGGCAGCAGUGAGGAAUAUUGCACAAUGAGCGAAAGCUUGAUGGAGCAAUGCCGCGUGCAGGAUGAAGGCCCUCGGGUUGUAAACUGCUUUUAUAAGAGAAGAUUAUGACGGUAACUUAUGAAUAAGGGACGGCUAACUACGUG
rnacentral:rRNA from 1 species